UGGGGAAUAUUGCACAAUGGGCGAAAGCCUGAUGCAGCAACGCCGCGUGAGUGAUGAAGGUCUUCGGAUUGUAAAGCUCUGUCUUUUGGGACGAUAAUGACGGUACCAAAGGAGGAAGCCACGGCUAACUACGUGCCAGCAGCCGCGGUAAUACGUAGGUGGCGAGCGUUGUCCGGAUUUACUGGGCGUAAAGGGUGCGUAGGCGGAUGUUUAAGUGAGAUGUGAAAUACCCGGGCUUAACUUGGGUGCUGCAUUUCAAACUGGAUAUCUAGAGUGCAGGAGAGGAGAAUGGAAUUCCUAGUGUAGCGGUGAAAUGCGUAGAGAUUAGGAAGAACACCAGUGGCGAAGGCGAUUCUCUGGACUGUAACUGACGCUGAGGCACGAAAAGCG
rnacentral:rRNA from 1 species